rnacentral:misc_RNA from 1 species
CCCCCGAGUAACCAUGAGACAAUUGACAUAUCCAAUCCCUUGCAAUUAGCUCUCCGCAGUCUUGGAUCACACUACUUAAUCUUAUUUGCGUUGUACUUGGAUUCAAGGUCCAAGUUGGGUUAGGAAUACCGGAUCUAUAUCCAUAUAAUCUCCUUCAAUUUCAGUUAACCAAUGGUUAGAGAAUUUUUCAAAUAAAGCUCCUUUCAGAUUAGGCAAGCAAUUCAACCCUGGGUGGGCCACCCAAUAGCAUCUUGGGCAUGAUGUUUAAUGACUUUUAGGUGUAAGAUUAAACUCUAUCUGUUCCUCAUUUUUUCCAAAUAGUUAAGUUCCCAGUUCAGAUCUGAUUUUUUUUUCCCCAUAAAAAACCUUUGAAAUCUUCAAUUGAGACUCUGACUACCCACAUAGUCGUAACUACCCAAUGUAAAUGUAAUAACAAAUUUUACUACAUAAUUAGAUACAAAACCCUCAAAUCACCUCCUACUAAUACAGAAGAAUAAAAGGCCAAGUGUAUAGAUUGUGUAGAAAAGUUAUAAUAAACCAAAUGGAAAUUUCAACUUCAGCAUUCUGAUACUUUUGUAACUAAAAAGAUCACCCUCCAACGCACAAAUCCUCUUCUCUUCUCCUCCCCAACAAAAAGAGAGGGGGGGGAGGGAAGGGGAAGGGAGGAGGUGG